UACGUAGGUGACCAGCGUUGUCCGGAUUUACUGGGCGUAAAGAGCGCGCAGGCGGUCGUUCAAGUCGAGUGUGAAAGCCCCCGGCUCAACUGGGGAGGGUCAUUCGAUACUGAUCGACUGGAAGGCAGGAGAGGGAAGCGGAAUUCCCGGUGUAGAGGUGAAAUUCGUAGAUAUCGGGAGGAACACCGGUGGCGAAGGCGGCGACCUGGGUAGAUACUGACGCUGAGGUGCGAAAGCGUGGGGAGCAAACAGG
rnacentral:rRNA from 1 species